rnacentral:tRNA from 1 species
GCUCCUAUAGCUCAGCUGGAUAGAGUACCCGCAGCCCGAGAGGGACGGAAGGUCGUCGGUUCGAAUCCGGCUAGGAGCC